rnacentral:lncRNA from 1 species
ACAAAACCCGAGUGACCGUUGCCUAUCAUCGAUCGUCUCUCCAGCAACUCAGACCGUUUCCCACCGCUGGGAUCCCUCAAGUACUCUCUGGAUGUCUUCAAGUUCGUGGUUUGCCAAAUAUUAGUGACUUUUAUUGUUGUUUUGGUUGUAAUCUGGUUUGGUUUGAAUAGGGAAAGUUUUGGGGUUUGCAAGUAGUGGUUUCUUCUGAUGAUGGUUGCCAUGGUGGAGGAGAAGCUAGAUGGGUUUGAAUGAGUUCGAAUGUGUGGGGACGAGUAAGUUAGAUUAACAAGGAAGAAGAUGGAGCUUGGGACAAUGAGUAGAUGGUGAUACAAUGAUGGCAGAGAAGAAGGAGGGGGAAAAAAAGCCGGUGGAGGUCGGCGAUUAGCGGCGGCUAGGGCUUCAAUUUGGGAAGGAGGAGAAGAAAAAAAAGAAAAAGAAAGGAAAAUAAAGAAAAAAGACAAAAGGUGAAGGAUUAGUCACUAAUUUAAUAUUAAAAAAGAAAAAAAUAAAUAUAUUUUUUAGAUACGUCAGAUAAACAUGACCCACUAACGUCACUUAACACUAGGGUAAUUAUUUUAUUAAAUAAUAUAAUAUUGUUAUUUAUAUCUAAUGUAAUGUUUAUAUAUAUUUUAAUAAAUAUUUUUAAAAUAUACAAUUUUAGUUAUAGAAUAUAUAAAUAAUAAAUAAAAACAGACAAAUCUCAAAAUUAUGC